UGGUAAGUUAUUAACAGUGUUCAUCGCCUCAGUUGUAAACAUUAAGUCGACCAAAAUGUGUUAAUUAAAAUCCAAACUUGGAUGAUUUAAUACUUCACUAGGUCACUUUUACGGCUCCAAUUGGUUGUUACUGUGGUGUUAAGACAACUACCAUAUUGCUGCCUCGCUGAUCGUGGUUAAUGAAGUUCCUCGUGUCAUUCGUCGAGGACGGUGACGUGAAGAUGUAAGA